UGCAUGGCAGGUCAAAAAAAAUAUCUCAAUAAAAAAAUAACGAUUUUUGGUUCGGAGGGGAGACAGCAUGGAGUUUAUUUUUGCCCAGGGUCUCCCCUCCGUUGUGUGGUGUGCGCCGUCUGUCCUUUCUUAUUGUUUUGUCUCUUAUUUUUGCUCGCCCCCAAUCGCAAACAGUCGGACAUGGAUUCUGGACAACUGCGGCCGCAUCGAUAUCUCGUCGUCAAAGAUGAUUCUAGGGAGAUUUGAUGCCGGAAGAUUACUGCUCGACGAGCCCGAAUGGCCAGAACGAAGCCUCUCAUCACAAUUACAAGUUAAACUAAAUUUCGGCUCAAAUACAAGCUGCUUGGUUGUGGGAUAGGUCCAGAAGUUCUUUUCGUGACAACCUCUUUUCUGAGGAUUUGAGGUGACCAAUGAAACUAAAGCUUUUAAGUAUUGGCAAGUAAUGUUUUCUGUUAAUUUACAAGAAGCUUUUGAAGUAUUGGCAAGUAAUGUUUUCGGUUAAUUUACGUUUUGUGAUUCAAGUCAUUGCGAUUGAUCAUUCAUAGGUGUUGGCAUUAUCAUUUAUUUAUUCUAUUCAUUUGUUAAAAGAGUUUAGAUUGAAUAUAUUCCCUUGGUUUUGUUGUUUGUAUGGAAUUGCGGAGGAAUUAUCGUUAAACUGGGGUUGUUUUUAUAGUACUUGGAUGAUAGAUCAAAUUGUGGUCUGUUGAUAUUGCCCGAUUCACAAUUAGGGGUUAUGAUUUUGGUUAUUUUUCAAACAGCUCCGCGUAGUUGUUCAAUGUUUGUAUUAUGUAGUUUCUAUUUACUAUUACUUACAGAAGGUGGCGUUUAGUU